GUCCCCGUCCAUGUGAGGUGUCUUCGACGAGUCGAGUUGUUUGGGAAUGCAGCUCAAAAUGGGUGGUAAAUUUCAUCUAAAGCUAAAUAUUGGUGGGAGACCGAUAGCGCACAAGUAGAGUGAUCGAAAGAUGAAAAGCACUUUGAAAAUAGAGUUAAAAAGUACGUGAAAUUGUUGAAAGGGAAGCGCUUGAGACCAGACUUCGGUAAGGGGUGAUCAGCCGUCCUUCUGGGCGGUGCACUUGCCCCCCUCCGGGCCAGCAUCGGUUGAGGCGGCGGGAUAAAGGUCCCGGGAAUGUGGCUCCUUCACGGGAGUGUUAUAGCCCGGGUGAAUGCCGCCAGCUUCGACCGAGGACCGCACCCGCAAGGGUUAGGAUGCUUGGCAUAAUGGUCUUCAGCGAC
rnacentral:rRNA from 1 species